GGGCGCCGGGGGCCGGGGUGGGCUCGGCUCUUGGGCAGCGGCCGCGGGGAGAGGAGGCUGCCGUCGCCUCAACAGCUGUGGUGGGAGUCGUUCGGAGACGACCAGCUGCCAGUCUAAGUGCAUAUCAGCCAUCAAUAAUAAAGUACUACAUAUUGAGACAUACAAAGAUUUUCCUACAAAGAACAAGACUAAUUGACAUUAACAGCAAAUUAAAC